AACGUAGGUUCCGAGCGUUAUCCGGAUUUACUGGGCGUAAAGCGCGUUCAGGCGGUUUGGCAAGUCGGGCAUGAAAUCUCUCGGCUCAACCGGGAGAGGUUGUCCGAUACUGCUGGACUUGAGGGCAGUAGAGGGUGGUGGAAUUCCGGGUGUAGCGGUGAAAUGCGUAGAUAUCCGGAGGAACACCGGUGGCGAAGGCGGCUUCCUGGACCGACACUGACGCUGAGGCGCGAAAGCUAGGGGAGCAAACGGG
rnacentral:rRNA from 1 species